UAUCUGGAGUGUGCGAAAACUCCUGUUAAUUUUGAACCUACAUUUACUUUUAACGGGAUUCCUAAUUCGUAGAUGGAUGUCAGGCCUCGUAUCGGUGGAAGGCAGAAGUCUAUGUGCGGUUGCCCACCUAGCUUUGCUAGGAGUCAAAAGGCAGGAAACGGCACUCCGGAUAU
rnacentral:other from 1 species